AGAGUUUGAUCCUGGCUCAGAACGAACGCUGGCGGCGUGCCUAACACAUGCAAGUCGUACGAGAAAAUCCGCUUCGGCGGGUGAGUAAAGUGGCGCACGGGUGAGUAACGCGUGGAUAAUCUGCCUUUAAGCGGGGAAUAACUUACCGAAAGGUGGGCUAAUACCCCAUAAAGCUAUGGAGCUCCGGUUUUCAUAGCCAAAGAGAGCCUCUGCAUGCAAGCCCUCACUUAGAGAUGAGUCCGCGUACCAUUAGCUAGUUGGUGGGGUAAUGGCCUACCAAGGCGACGAUGGUUAGCUGGUCUGAGAGGAUGAUCAGCCACACUGGAACUGAGGCACGGUCCAGACUCCUACGGGAGGCAGCAGUGAGGAAUAUUGCGCAAUGGGGGCAACCCUGACGCAGCAACGCCGCGUGAGUGAGGAAGGUUUUCGGAUCGUAAAGCUCUGUCGGGUGGGAAGAAAUGUAUGGAGGUUAACAGCCUUUGUACUUGACGGUACCGCCAAAGGAAGCACCGGCUAACUCCGUGCCAGCAGCCGCGGUAAUACGGGGGGUGCUAGCGUUGUUCGGAAUCAUUGGGCGUAAAGAGCGUGUAGGCGGCUAGGCAAGUCAGAUGUGAAAUCCCUGGGCUUAACCCAGGACGUGCAUUUGAAACUGCUUGGCUUGAGUAGGGAAGAGGGAAGUGGAAUUCCUGGUGUAGAGGUGAAAUUCGUAGAUAUCAGGAGGAACACCGGUGGCGAAGGCGACUUCCUGGUCCUAUACUGACGCUGAGACGCGAGAGCGUGGGGAGCAAACAGGAUUAGAUACCCUGGUAGUCCACGCCGUAAACGAUGU
rnacentral:rRNA from 1 species